rnacentral:rRNA from 1 species
GACGAACGCUGGCGGCGUGCUUAACACAUGCAAGUCGAGCGACGCUCUUCCUUCGGGGAGCUGACGGAGCGGCGAACGGGUGAGUAACACGUGGGCAACCUGCCCCUAGCUCUGGGACAACACCGGGAAACCGGUGCUAAUACCGGAUACGACAUCGAGCGGCAUCUCUCGAUGUGGAAAGUUUUUUCGGCUAGGGAUGGGCCCGCGGCCUAUCAGCUUGUUGGUGGGGUAAUGGCCCACCGAGGCGACGACGGGUAGCCGGCCUGAGAGGGCGACCGGCCACACUGGGACUGAGACACGGCCCAGACUCCUACGGGAGGCAGCAGUGGGGAAUAUUGCGCAAUGGGCGAAAGCCUGACGCAGCGACGCCGCGUGAGGGAUGACGGCCUUCGGGUUGUAAACCUCUUUCAGCAGGGACGAAUUCAGACGGUACCUGCAGAAGAAGCACCGGCCAACUACGUG